rnacentral:lncRNA from 1 species
UUAGAGUUAUGCUGAUAGUCAUUUGGCGUCAACAGUAUCGUCGUUUGGAUCUUCCAUCUUCGGAUCAAUCGAGCGAGACAUGGAUUCGGGUGACGCAACAACACGUGUAAAUAUAAUUAAUGUCGCUAGAGCAAAUAAGGGUGAGAUGGUCACGAUUGAAGUGGUGUAACCGGGGAGUGGAUUGAUAGUUGUGCGUCAGUCCUGC